AUCAGACCAACUGCUGUUUGGAGAAUUACUGCCAUUUCUGGCUUCAGGCGUGUUUACCUCCUCAAGGGAACCCUCGUGGUGUACGGUGCUGCUGGGUGCAAUCAUUAAGGCAAUGAGCAAACGCUCUCCACUUGUUGUCCAACUUUGAAGACGGGCAGAUCUACAAGGUCCCCAGAAGCUCUGUUCCUAAAGCAGAAGUGCAAUAGUGCUCAAGGAGGAUUAAAGGACUAGGAUCGAGUACUUCCUAAAUACUGCUGCCUGCCCCUGUUCUAAACAACAGCUCAAAAAUAACAUACUUGCCUCUUCCGAGGGCUGUUCAAGAAGUAUAGCCCUGGCAAGGCUAAGCCCCUGGGGUCCUAUUCACAAAUACUCAUGGCAGCCAGCGAGGGAAGGAUUCCAAGUCAGGAGGAACAUCAUAUCCCUGGUGUGUCAGUCAGUACUUUGUUCAGAGGGAAAGACGACGAAGCAAGAC
ensembl:lncRNA